AGUGAGAAGCCCCAGAAGUGGAGAGUGGAAAUAAACAGUGGUCACAAGAAGGUGAAAACUGUGUGGCAGCUGAGUGACAGCCCGCCUGUGGACCAUCUGAACCCCCUCAGAGUCGAUUUUUCUGAGCUAACAUUCAAUCCUAGCCUGGAAGAAAAGACAUGCUUCACCACCAUGAUCACCUGCAGCUAAGUGCAUUUCAAGUGAAGUGUGCGGGGCUUGUUCAAGUAUCUGAUCCCUCUUCCUCCUCCCAAGAAAAAGCAGAAAGAAAAAAAUCACAGCAACUGAAAACAAAUGUACAUAAACAUUCACAGCAAAGAAGGAAAGUGGUGAUGAUUGUCCUCUAACAGCCGCCUCGAAAGCUGCCAAAUGACCGGCCUCAGCUGUGUAUCCGCAGGAGGAGCAUCAGGAGAGCUGCAGCGAGCAGGACACAGAGGGCGCAGACAGUCGGGACCAGGAUCUCAGUCACCAUCUGCAUGGGGCCCCACACAAUUACUGAAAGGGAAGAAGGCCAGAACGGAGCGUCACUGCAUUGCUUCAUCUGGCAAGCCCGACUGCCCGGGAAACUCAGAAGGCCACCCCUAAACUCUCCGCUUGGUCUUGUCUGCCAUGAAAGAGAACCUGAUGGAUUUAAUCUUACAAAAAGUUGUGUGAGGACUUUGUAAAACAUUUCUGGAAAUAAUGGGAUAAAGGAUGCCUGAACAGUUCUUCCUUUGAUACUGUGGUAUAAAGUCUAAUAUAUGCAGAUUAGCAUUUGUGUUGACUGUACAUUAUCACUGUCACUGUAUCACUGUCAUCCCAUUGCUCAUUGAUUUGCUCGAGGGGGCACCAGUAACA